rnacentral:rRNA from 1 species
ACCCGAUGCAAACUGCGAAUACCGGAGAAUGUUAUCACGGGAGACACACGGCGGGUGCUAACGUCCGUCGUGAAGAGGGAAACAACCCAGACCGCCAGCUAAGGUCCCAAAGUCAUGGUUAAGUGGGAAACGAUGUGGGAAGGCCCAGACAGCCAGGAUGUUGGCUUAGAAGCAGCCAUCAUUUAAAGAAAGCGUAAUAGCUCACUGGUCGAGUCGGCCUGCGCGGAAGAUGUAACGGGGCUAAACCAUGCACCGAAGCUGCGGCAGCGAUGCUUAUGCGUUGUUGGGUAGGGGAGCGUUCUGUAAGCCUGCGAAGGUGUGCUGUGAGGCAUGCUGGAGGUAUCAGAAGUGCGAAUGCUGACAUAAGUAACGAUAAAGCGGGUGAAAAGCCCGCUCGCCGGAAGACCAAGGGUUCCUGUCCAACGUUAAUCGGGGCAGGGUGAGUCGACCCCUAAGGCGAGGCCGAAAGGCGUAGUCGAUGGGAAACAGGUUAAUAUUCCUGUACUUGGUGUUACUGCGAAGGGGGGACGGAGAAGGCUAUGUUGGCCGGGCGACGGUUGUCCCGGUUUAAGCGUGUAGGCUGGUUUUCCAGGCAAAUCCGGAAAAUCAAGGCUGAGGCGUGAUGACGAGGCACUACGGUGCUGAAGCAACAAAUGCCCUGCUUCCAGGAAAAGCCUCUAAGCAUCAGGUAACAUCAAAUCGUACCCCAAACCGACACAGGUGGUCAGGUAGAGAAUACCAAGGCGCUUGAGAGAACUCGGGUGAAGGAACUAGGCAAAAUGGUGCCGUAACUUCGGGAGAAGGCACGCUGAUAUGUAGGUGAAGUCCCUUGCGGAUGGAGCUGAAAUCAGUCGAAGAUACCAGCUGGCUGCAACUGUUUAUUAAAAACACAGCACUGUGCAAACACGAAAGUGGACGUAUACGGUGUGACGCCUGCCCGGUGCCGGAAGGUUAAUUGAUGGGGUCAGCGCAAGCGAAGCUCUUGAUCGAAGCCCCGGUAAACGGCGGCCGUAACUAUAACGGUCCUAAGGUAGCGAAAUUCCUUGUCGGGUAAGUUCCGACCUGCACGAAUGGCGUAAUGAUGGCCAGGCUGUCUCCACCCGAGACUCAGUGAAAUUGAACUCGCUGUGAAGAUGCAGUGUACCCGCGGCAAGACGGAAAGACCCCGUGAACCUUUACUAUAGCUUGACACUGAACAUUGAGCCUUGAUGUGUAGGAUAGGUGGGAGGCUUUGAAGUGUGGACGCCAGUCUGCAUGGAGCCGGCCUUGAAAUACCACCCUUUAAUGUUUGAUGUUCUAACGUGGACCCGUGAUCCGGGUUGCGGACAGUGUCUGGUGGGUAGUUUGACUGGGGCGGUCUCCUCCUAAAGAGUAACGGAGGAGCACGAAGGUUGGCUAAUCCUGGUCGGACAUCAGGAGGUUAGUGCAAUGGCAUAAGCCAGCUUGACUGCGAGCGUGACGGCGCGAGCAGGUGCGAAAGCAGGUCAUAGUGAUCCGGUGGUUCUGAAUGGAAGGGCCAUCGCUCAACGGAUAAAAGGUACUCCGGGGAUAACAGGCUGAUACCGCCCAAGAGUUCAUAUCGACGGCGGUGUUUGGCACCUCGAUGUCGGCUCAUCACAUCCUGGGGCUGAAGUAGGUCCCAAGGGUAUGGCUGUUCGCCAUUUAAAGUGGUACGCGAGCUGGGUUUAGAACGUCGUGAGACAGUUC